rnacentral:rRNA from 1 species
AUUGAACGCUGGCGGCAGGCCUAACACAUGCAAGUCGAGCGCGCGGCGGACGGGUGAGUAAAGUCUGGGAAACUGCCUGAGGGAGGGGGAUAACUACUGGAAACGGUAGCUAAUACCGCAUACCAUCAGAUGUGCCCAGAUGGGGUUAGCUCGUAGGUGGGGUAAAGGCUCACCCAGUCGACGAACCCUAGCUGUUCUGAAAGGAUGACCAGCCACACUGGAACUGAGACACGGUCCAGACUCCUACGGGAGGCAGCAGUGGGGAAUAUUGCACAAUGGGCGCAAGCCUGAUGCAGCCAUGCCGCGUGUGUGAAGAAGGCCUUCGGGUUGUAAAGCACUUUCAGCGGGGAGGCGUUACCCGCAGAAGAAGCACCGGCUAACUCCGUGCCAGCAGCCGCGGUAAUAC